UGUCUGUUUGGUCAGCUGUGGGAUGAUUGUCCUGAUACCAAGCCAGUACAAAGGGUCAAAUCUGUGGUGUCUCUGUUCUCUAGCAAGUGCUUGGUAUUGUGUAAACAUUUUUCUCGUCUAUGUCCUGUUCUAUAGCUGCACAUGGCUGAUCGAAUAAGACGAGAUGGAGGCCGGGAGAGAAGAGCAUUUCUUUAGGGUCCUGUUGGGCAUGGUGGGUAUGGACAAGCUGAAGACGUGGGCUGCAGUGAACCAUGGGGCCAUCGUGCUCUGUUGUGCGGAUGGGAGUGUGGUAUUAAAGGCCUACUACGCUCCAGAACUACAGACGAUCCAGCACUGUAAAGGAGUGGAAGUUCUGCUGGAAAAACUGGCCUGAUACAGAUACCAUCUCACCAAAAUUGACCCCCACUGAGACAUUUCACCAACUAUUGUGACCUCACCAACUGGAGUCACAGGUUCUCAUAACUGUCCCCCCCCCCCCCCCCCAGUCCUUUGACCUGACCAUCCUGGUGAAAUCCCUACUAUGACAUGAAGAUGGAUGAAAAGAAACACUGAUUUGUACUGCAUUUUGUCAAAUUCAUUUAGGUGUGCUUGUUUGUAAAGCGGUGGAGCAAGUAUUUAAAUGUAAAAGGCACAAAUACUG